AUUGAACGCUGGCGGCAUGCUUUACACAUGCAAGUCGAACGGCAGCACGGGUGCUUGCACCUGGUGGCGAGUGGCGAACGGGUGAGUAAUGUAUCGGAACGUACCCGGCAAUGGGGGAUAACGUAGCGAAAGUUACGCUAAUACCGCAUAUGCCCUGAGGGGGAAAGUGGGGGAUCGCAAGACCUCACGUUGUCGGAGCGGCCGAUAUCAGAUUAGCUAGUUGGUGGGGUAAAGGCCUACCAAGGCGACGAUCUGUAGCUGGUCUGAGAGGACGACCAGCCACACUGGGACUGAGACACGGCCCAGACUCCUACGGGAGGCAGCAGUGGGGAAUUUUGGACAAUGGGGGCAACCCUGAUCCAGCCAUGCCGCGUGAGUGAAGAAGGCCUUCGGGUUGUAAAGCUCUUUCGGACAGAAAGAAAUCGCCACUUCUAAUAAAGGUGGUGGAUGACGGUACUGUAAGAAGAAGCACCGGCUAACUACGUGCCAGCAGCCGCAGUAA
rnacentral:rRNA from 1 species